AUUGAACGCUAGCGGGAUGCUUUACACAUGCAAGUCGAACGAGUGGCGGACGGGUGAGUAAUGUAUCGGAACGUGCCCUGUAGAGGGGGAUAACUACUCGAAAGAGUAGCUAAUACCGCAUACCAUCGGAUGUGCCCAGAUGGGAUUAGCUAGUAGGUGGGGUAAAGGCUCACCUAGGCGACGAUCCCUAGCUGGUCUGAGAGGAUGACCAGCGACACUGGAACUGAGACACGGUCCAGACUCCUACGGGAGGCAGCAGGGGGGAAUAUUGCACAAGGGGCGCAAGCCUGAUGCAGCCAUGCCGCGUGUAUGAAGAAGGCCUUCGGGUUGUAAAGUACUUUCAGCGGGGAGGCGUUACCCGCAGAAGAAGCACCGGCUAACUCCGUGCCAGCAGCCGCGGUAAUAC
rnacentral:rRNA from 1 species